rnacentral:rRNA from 1 species
GAUGAACGCUGGCGGCGUGCCUAAUACAUGCAAGUCGAGCGAACGGACGAGAAGCUUGCUUCUCUGAUGUUAGCGGCGGACGGGUGAGUAACACGUGGAUAACCUACCUAUAAGACUGGGAUAACUUCGGGAAACCGGAGCUAAUACCGGAUGAUAUUUUGAACCGCAUGGUUCGAAAGUGAAAGACGGUCUUGCUGUCACUUAUAGAUGGAUCCGCGCUGCAUUAGCUAGUUGGUAAGGUAACGGCUUACCAAGGCAACGAUGCAUAGCCGACCUGAGAGGGGGAUCGGCCACACUGGAACUGAGACACGGUCCAGACUCCUACGGGAGGCAGCAGUAGGGAAUCUUCCGCAAUGGGCGAAAGCCUGACGGAGCAACGCCGCGUGAGUGAUGAAGGUCUUCGGAUCGUAAAACUCUGUUAUUAGGGAAGAACAGAUGUGUAAGUAACUGUGCACAUCUUGACGGUACCUAAUCAGAAAGCAACGGCUAACUACGUG